UAAUGAAGGAAGCAUGGUAAUGUGCACGGAGAUUGAGGAUUUGGGUCAACUUGUCUGCUCUCCCUGAUGCCUCUGAGGCUCUGAUUUGAGGGCCUGGUUGCGACCUACAUUU